AACGAACGCUGGCGGCAUGCCUAACACAUGCAAGUCGAACGAGACCUUCGGGUCUAGUGGCGCACGGGUGCGUAACGCGUGGGAACCUGCCCUUAGGUUCGGAAUAACUCCCCGAAAGGGGUGCUAAUACCGGAUAAUGUCUUCGGACCAAAGAUUUAUCGCCUUUGGAUGGGCCCGCGUUGGAUUAGCUAGUUGGUAGGGUAAAAGCCUACCAAGGCGACGAUCCAUAGCUGGUCUGAGAGGAUGAUCAGCCACACUGGGACUGAGACAUGGCCCAGACUCCUACGGGAGGCAGCAGUGGGGAAUAUUGGACAAUGGGCGAAAGCCUGAUCCAGCAAUGCCGCGUGAGUGAUGAAGGCCUUAGGGUUGUAAAGCUCUUUUACCCGGGAUGAUAAUGACAGUACCGGGAGAAUAAGCUCCGGCUAACUCCGU
rnacentral:rRNA from 1 species